rnacentral:rRNA from 1 species
UACACUCCUACGGGAGGCAGCAGUGGGGAAUUUUGGACAAUGGGCGAAAGCCUGAUCCAGCCAUGCCGCGUGCAGGAUGAAGGCCUUCGGGUUGUAAACUGCUUUUGUACGGAACGAAACGGCCUUUUCUAAUAAAGAGGGCUAAUGACGGUACCGUAAGAAUAAGCACCGGCUAACUACGUGCCAGCAGCCGCGGUAAUACGUAGGGUGCAAGCGUUAAUCGGAAUUACUGGGCGUAAAGCGUGCGCAGGCGGUUAUGUAAGACAGUUGUGAAAUCCCCGGGCUCAACCUGGGAACUGCAUCUGUGACUGCAUAGCUAGAGUACGGUAGAGGGGGAUGGAAUUCCGCGUGUAGCAGUGAAAUGCGUAGAUAUGCGGAGGAACACCGAUGGCGAAGGCAAUCCCCUGGACCUGUACUGACGCUCAUGCACGAAAGCGUGGGGAGCAAACAGGAUUAGAAACCCUAGUAGUCCCAUG